rnacentral:rRNA from 1 species
AGCGCAACCCUCGCCCUUAGUUGCCAGCAUUAGUUGGGCACUCUAAGGGGACUGCCGGUGAUAAGCCGAGAGGAAGUGGGGAUGACGUCAAGUCCUCAUGGCCCUUACGGGCUGGGCUACACACGUGCUACAAUGGUGGUGACAGUGGGCAGCGAGCACGCGAGUGUGAGCUAAUCUCCAAAAGCCAUCUCAGUUCGGAUUGCACUCUGCAACUCGAGUGCAUGAAGUUGGAAUCGCUAGUAAUCGCGGAUCAGCAUGCCGCGGUGAAUACGUUCCCGGGCCUU